CCCCCCAGUCCUCCCCGCCCGCGCAAACAAACGCCCGCGACCAAGUCCGUCCACCUCUGCCUCUGCGCGGCAGCCUUUCUCUCUGUCGUCUCUCCCCGUCUCCCGUCGCUGAUUCCAUCAUCGUCCUCCCCGGCUUUUCCCCACCAAAAGCCGGAAGCCAUAGCACCUUCUGCCAGCUAGUCCCCAGAAGGUGCCCACACCCCUCCCCACCCCCAUCCCACGCAGCACAGCGGCAGACACCGCACCGCGAGUGACGCGGCAGCAAAAAACCAUGGCGGCUCUGCCGUUCUCGACGCGGCGGCCCUUCUCGUCGCCGUGCUUCAUCCUCUGCUUCCUCCUCGGCUUCGUCGCCGGCCUCUUCCCCUUCGCGCACCGCCACCUCCACCUCGACCUCGACCUCCGCCACCUCCCGCUCGCGGACCCUCCUCCCGCUGCGCCGACCCAGCGGGCCCUAGUCCGGCCGCCACCGACGACGACCCUGAUCGUCGUGACGCCGACCCGCGCGCGCCCGCUGCAGGCGUACUACCUGCACCGCCUCGCGCACACCCUCCGCCUCGUCCCGCAGCCGCUGCUCUGGCUCGUCGUCGACCGCGGCGCCGCCACGCGCGAGACCGCCGCGCUGCUCCGCGGCUGCGGCCUCAUGUACCGCCACCUGCCCUCCCAGUCCCACCGCGACGCGCCCGGUGCUCGCCGGACGAGGCCCGAGCACCCGGCGGCGCGCGGCCUGCGCCAGAGGAACGCGGCGCUCGACCACAUCGAGCACCACCGCAUCCACGGCCUCGUCUACUUCGCCGACGAGGACAACGUGUACUCCCUUGACCUCUUCGACCAGCUUCGCGGCAUAAGGAGUUUUGGCACCUGGCCAGUCGCAAUGCUGGGCGUGGGGAAGAGCAAGACACUUGUGGAAGGGCCGGUUUGUGACAACAGCCAGGUAGUGGGAUGGCACACGAACGAGAGGACCAAGAGGCAACGAAGGUUUCAUGUCAAUACUUCGGGCUUUGCUUUCAAUAGCAGUAUGCUCUGGGACGCCGACAAGAGGGCUCGUCAGGCGUGGAAUUACAUCCGGCUGCUGGACACGGUCAGAGAUGGGUUUCAGGCAACAACAUUUAUAGAGCAGCUUGUAGAAGAUGAAACUCAUAUGGAGGGCAUACCAACUGGUUGUUCAAAAAUUAUGAAUGUUAAUCUUCGCCUAGAAGAUAAACAUCUUGUAUAUCCGAAGGAGUGGCAGAUGACAGAAAACCUGGAUGUGUUAAUUCCUCUCUGAGCCAGAACAGAGGCAUACCGCCCUGCAGCUUCAGCAAUCGAGCACAUGGAGACGCGGCCGAGCAUGACGUGCGUGUGUGGCAUAUGUCAAGCUGUUGUGGGUCAGCGGAGGUUUAGGUUAGGUACAUGAAUACAUCGUACAAGAGGAUCUUACGUCCCCAGUAGGGCCUUAGCCUUUGUGGGCAUUUAAGCUCCUGAGGUCCUAAUGCGGGGGAGAUAAGCAAGUAGUCGAAGGAAUCAUAGCUGGACAAAUAUUAUCACGAAGAUAUACAAACGUAAAGUCAACUUAUGAGCUUGUCAGAGCCGUGGUUCGCCAUUUUUUCCAUUCUUGACUCGGCCCGUACAAAGAAAAGGGAGUUUACACCUUCUGUAUUGAAUGAUCUGGUAAUAGAACCAUAGCUUCGUACAUCGUAGUAUAUUCUUCUCAUGCUCGGAUGCUUCUGUUGGUCAAUUUGAUUGAAUUUUGAACCAAGCUAGCGAGAGCAACUCCCAGCAGGACCCUUGUUCGUUUAUGCGGGAUUACUCCACCCUUCCAGCUGAUCAAAGUUUUUAUAUAAAUUAGAGAAACAAGUUGGCUAGGGAUAAUUCUAGCCAGCCAAUCCGUAAUAACUGAACGGGCUACAGAACUCCGUUCCUAGGGGCCUCUAGAGGGAGUACCUCGAGAAACGGUUGCUCUCGGGCGUUGCUCUCCAUCCUUGCACGCACAACCAGAGCGCAAGUAGUCUAACGGAAAAGGCAUUGCACGCUACCCUUGCAAUAAAACAAAA